rnacentral:rRNA from 1 species
UACAGAGGUCCCAAGCGUUGUUCGGAUUCAUUGGGCGUAAAGGGUGUGUAGGUGGCGCCGUAAGUCGGGUGUGAAAUUUCGGAGCUUAACUCCGAAACUGCAUUCGAUACUGCGGUGCUUGAGGACUGGAGAGGAGACUGGAAUUCAUGGUGUAGCAGUGAAAAUGCGCAGAUAUCAGGAGGAACACCGAUUGCGAAGGCAGCUCGCUGGGACGUUACUGACGCUGAGACGCGAAAGCGUGGGGGAGCAAAACAGG